rnacentral:rRNA from 1 species
CCUACGGGUGGCUGCAGUGAGGGAUCUUGCACAAUGGGGGAAACCCUGAUGCAGCGACGCCGCGUGGGUGAAGACGGCCUUCGGGUUGUAAAGCCCUUUUGCCCGUGACGAGGAUGGACGGUAGCGGGAGAAGAAGCCUCGGCUAACUACGUGCCAGCAGCCGCGGUAAAACGUAGGAGGCAAGCGUUAUCCGGAGUGACUGGGCGUAAAGCGCGCGCAGGCGGUCUGCUAAGUAGGGCCUGAAAGGGUGCGGCUCAACCGCGCCAUGCGGCUUU